UUACGGCCAUAUCUCGUUGAAACACCGGUUCUCGUACGAUCACAGAAGUUAAGCAACGUUGAAACUGGUCAGUACCUAGAUGGGUAACAAUUAGGUGAUACCAAGUGCUGUAAG